UAAUACGUACCGUACAAACGUUAUUCGGAAUUACUGGGCUUAAAGGGUGCGUAGGCGGUGCGGUAAGUUGGGUGUGAAAUCCCUCGGCUCAACCGAGGGACUGCGCCCAAUACUGCCGUACUCGAGGGAGACAGAGGUAAGCGGAACUGAUGGUGGAGCGGUGAAAUGCGUUGAUAUCAUCAGGAACACCAGUGGCGAAAGCGGCUUACUGGGUCUCUUCUGACGCUGAGGCACGAAAGCUAGGGUAGCGAACGGGAUUAGAUACCCCGGUAGUCCUAGCUGUAAACGAUGAGCACUUGGUCGGAGACUCCUCCAUAGGUUUCCGGUCGUAGCGAAAGUGUUAAGUGCUCCGCCUGGGGAGUAUGGUCGCAAGGCUG
rnacentral:rRNA from 1 species